GAGAGAGUCCGGUCAAGUGCCGGUGGUAUACGGAGGGGGGUAACGUGGUACGGUAUGAUUGGGGUGUAAGCGCUGUGUAGCGGCCAAGUAAGGUCUCAAUGAAAACUCGAGGCUCAACUUCUAGAUGUCGGCGGGAACUAUCUGGCUAGAGUCCGGAAGAGGAAAGAUGAAUUCCUUGUGUAGCGGUGAAAUGCGCAGAUAUCAGGAAGAACACCCGUGGCGGAGGCGGCUUUCUGGGACGGUACUGACGCUGAGACGCGAAAGCGUGGGGAACAAACAGGAUUAGAUACCCCGGUAGUC
rnacentral:rRNA from 1 species